UACGUAGGGCGCAAGCGUUGUCCGGAAUUAUUGGGCGUAAAGAGCUCGUAGGCGGUCUGUCGCGUCGGAUGUGAAAACCCGAGGCUCAACCUCGGGCCUGCAGUGGGUACGGGCAGACUAGAGUGCGGUAGGGGAGAUUGGAAUUCCUGGUGUAGCGGUGGAAUGCGCAGAUAUCAGGAGGAACACCAAUGGCGAAGGCAGAUCUCUGGGCCGUAACUGACGCUGAGGAGCGAAAGCAUGGGGAGCGAACAGG
rnacentral:rRNA from 1 species